GGGAGUUGUAUACAUGACUUAUUUAAUAAUUUGUGUUUUCUUAUACUUUGGUCAUUUCUGUUAUAAUAUUUAGAUACCAUGCAUGAUAGGAUUUCUUUUCUUUAUUGUUUGUUAUUAAAACUUUGAUCUAACCUCUCAUGUCUUAUGGAAGCACAUUGUAAGCUAUUUAUGCUAUUCAGGUAUGCUUUUUAUCUUUGCA
rnacentral:lncRNA from 1 species